rnacentral:lncRNA from 1 species
CUAAGAUUUUUUAUUUUUGGUAUAAAGAGCAAGACAGUAAACAUGAAUAUAAAAAUGGCUGCCAUUCAUAGACGGAAUAAGGAUAUAUUCUAAACAUAAUUCAACUAUAAUAACAAAAAAUUAAUACACUUGAUAAUUACAAAACCUCAUGCCAAACUAGUUAUAUCUUUUUGAAACUAAUGUAAAGAGAUAAACAUGAAAAAUAUGACAGAAAUUGACAAUUGGCUAUCUAUUAAUGCAAGUAUAGUUUGUUCCAUAACCGUGAUAAUGAACUAUGAAUUAUAAUUGCAUAUAGACGAUUUUUUUUCUUUUCUUUUAAAUAAGUAUAAAUCUAAAACUGAGGAAUCUUGAGCAGAAAUGGUUUGCAACCUGAUGUCAAGAUAUCAUUUAAAUUAAUAAAAGUCAAGGUUCAUAAAAAAAUUAAGUCUUACAAAAUUGGCAAAUGAAUGUAUAAGGUAUCAUAACAAUAAAUAUAUAAGGUUCACAUAAAAACAAUUUGAAUUACUCAUAAAUAUAACUGAUAGCAAUUAACAACAACAAAUAAGGAAUGUAAGUUACGUAAAAUGUUUUGAUUCUGUUUUCCAUCCACCUGCAUACAAACAAAUCUGUUUAGAAUAUGACAAAAUAGAAACUGACAAUAUAGGAGUUAAAUUACACCCAUAACUGGUUUUGUUAAAACAUAGACUGGUCAGUUGAAUUGGAAUCAACAUAUGCUUGACAAAUAAACAGGAGAAGUUAAUAGCAAUACAUUUUGUAAUAUGUAGAUUAUUCUGUUUUGUUUUUUUUUUCUGCUUUUUUUUUUACAUUUGAUGAAGGGUUACUUUAUUUAAGGAAUGACUGUAAUAUUUUUUCUGUCUAUGAAGAAAUAACAUAAAAAAUUUGGUGCACACUGAAUAACGCGUGUAGCGGGUUAUUUAACAGUGUGCACCACAUUUUUUAUGUUAUUUUGAAUAGACAGAAAAAAUAUUACAGUCAUUUCUUAUAAUUUAAUUCUAAAUUCAUUUUAAACCGUAGAAAACCUUGAAAAAACGUUGAUGACGUCACGGUCACAUGACUAAAUUAUGUCUAUGCUCUGAUAACAAAAUAACGUCGGCCAAUCAGAAGACACGUUACAUCCAAAAUUAAAUUAUUUAUAUAUUUAAAAAUGGAUGUAAACAUGGAAAAGAAAAAAGAAAAUGUUAAUUUUAUUAAACUGAAUAUUGUGCAAAAGAAACUGUUAAAAUUUGAGAUAACAGAUUUUGCUGAUGAAAAUGGUUUUGUUAUUUAACAAGCAAAUAAAAUGACAGUUACAACUGAUGUAUUUAAAAAGUUCAAUUAAGUUUGUGUACCCAUAAUGCAUUUACACUGCAGACUUCUAGAACCUUUAACCCUAAAAUUUCCUUGAAACCAUAGGCCACAAUGAAAGAAGAUUUGGUUGUCUUACUUCUGCAUAAAAUAUGGAGAAGCAGGGAAAAGUUAUUUGUUUCAUAUUUUCACAAAUAGUAGAUUUUCUUUAAAAUUAUUAUAAAAAUGUAAAAUAGUUCAUGAACUUGCCAAAAAAGGGUAUUGGUAACAGGACAGAGAUGAACAUUUUAAAAUAUCAUGUGAUUUAGUAAAAAAAAAACAACAUAUUUUCUUUAAAAAAUCAAAGCUGGUUUUUUUUUUUAAAAAUAGUUUGCAUACCUGCCAACUGUCACUAUUUGCAGGGAAUUUCCCCAAAAGAGAGCUCCCAAAUGGAAAAUUUUAAAGAGCGAUUUUGCCCACAAUUUUUUACAAAAUAUGCUUUUAAUUUGAAACUGCUAAAGAGUGAAUAUUUCUUGUAUGAUAUGUUAACAACUAUUACUAAAUCAGUAAAUUUACCAUAAAAGGUUCAACAUGAACAAUAAAUUUUUAUUUGGUUAUAAUCAAAUAACCUAAUGUCCCAAGGCACAAGUAUUCUCACUUACUACUUAGCAGCAAGGUCAGGUGUACAGAUGGUUACAAUGACUGGACACUAGAACAAUAUAUUGGGGAGAAAGAACAAUUUCAUACAUAUGACAGAGAAUAUUUAUUACCCUACAAAUUCAUUGCAAAUACUAAAUAAAAAUAAUUCCAAAUUACUAUAAAAUGUGAAAAUUGGUUUUCCUUAUUAAUCAAAUUUUAAUUUAUAAUAUGAUCGAUUAAUCAAAUGUUUACUUUAUUUUCAAAUGCCUAGUACCUUGAAACCAGAUGAGUUCUGAACAUUGGUGACAUGUCUCCCUGGUCUACCCUUUAAAUGAAGAGCAAAUAUUGAGGCAGGAUCAUAUAGGCUUAUUUUUUCUGUAAAAAUACUUGGUGUAUGGUGACCUGUAAUUGUUUAUAUCUUGUGUCUUUAUUAGAUUGUUAUCACAUUGGAAAUCAUACAACAUCACUUUAUUUUUUAUUGCUGUGUCAUCUUGACUUGUUAAUAAAACUGGAGAGUACCUUAUGGAUGAGAAAAUAUACUAAAACAAUUACAUGCAUUAUCAAAUACUUUUAACAUUUUAGGUUAAAUGUCUACACAAACAGCAUAUAUUAGAUAAGUAUAUUGAGAAGUAACCAUAUACUUUCAAAUAUGUCUCUGAAAAAAACUUAAAUAGUAUUUUUAAAAUGACAUUUUCU